AAAGAUAGGUUUCCUAUCGGAUCUUGGUGGUCGUAAAGGAGGAAGAGCACACUGAAGCUAGCCCUAUGGCGAUAUGGUGUGCUAUAGAGCACUGGGUCAGAUUUAUUCAUGC
rnacentral:snoRNA from 1 species